rnacentral:rRNA from 1 species
CCAGACUCCUACGGGAGGCAGCAGUGGGGAAUAUUGCACAAUGGGGGAAACCCUGAUGCAGCAACGCCGCGUGAGUGAAGAAGUAUUUCGGUAUGUAAAGCUCUAUCAGCAGGGAAGAAGAAGGACGGUACCUGACUAAGAAGCCCCGGCUAACUACGUGCCAGCAGCCGCGGUAAUACGUAGGGGGCGAGCGUUAUCCGGAUUUACUGGGUGUAAAGGGAGCGUAGACGGUUAAUCAAGUCUGAAGUGAAAGCCCGCGGCUCAACUGCGGAACGGCUUUGGAAACUGAGUAACUGGAGUGCUGGAGGGGCAGGCGGAAUUCCUGGUGUAGCGGUGAAAUGCGUAGAUAUCAGGAGGAACACCGGUGGCGAAGGCGGCCUGCUGGACAGUAACUGACGUUGAGGCUCGAAAGCGUGGGGAGCGAACAGGAUUAGAUACCCUAGUAC